ACGAAGAUUGCUUGGGGAUAGUGUUGAAAAGAAGAUUCUGAUUCAAGAUUUCUAGAGUAGGGCUUGAAAUUCUGCAUCUUUAACAAGCUCCUUGGUGAUGCUUCU
rnacentral:pre_miRNA from 1 species